rnacentral:rRNA from 1 species
UGGGGAUGACGUCAAGUCCUCAUGGCCCUUAUGUCCAGGGCUACACACGUGCUACAAUGGCCGGUACAAAGGGGCGCAAGACCGCGAGGUGGAGCAAAUCCCAAAAAACCGGUCUCAGUUCGGAUUGGAGUCUGCAACUCGACUCCAUGAAGUUGGAAUCGCUAGUAAUCGCGUAUCAGCAUGACGCGGUGAAUACGUUCCCGGGCCUU